rnacentral:lncRNA from 1 species
GUCCGGUGACUCGAACACCUCUGAAUUUCUCAGCCACUGGCUUAAUCUGGGAAGGCUGAGGGCCACCUGCCUUCAUUACCAUCUCUGACCAUGUGGCUAUCAUCUGGCCUUCCAGACUCUCAGGUAUAAUGGUAGAACUGGAGCCCAGGGGCAGCUGGGGAAUGGGGUCCGGGGCAGCACUCAGAGGAGGGUGUUGAGGGAGUGGAAGGGCUGGAGGUGAGCUGGGGUAGGGGUGCGGGGGCGGUGGGAUGGCACAGGAGAAGCACAAACUGGGCUUCUUUGCGGUGUUCUGGGUAGUGUCCUGCUCGGUAUAUCUGGCUAAUAGACUCAGUGGGAUGCGGCCAUGGAAUCUGGGUUGGUAAGUGGAUAAGGCAUUGGUGCUAAUCAUCUUUGAAUUUAUUAUUGGACUUAAAAAACCACUUUCACAUGCUUUUAAAUAUUGACUAUUAAAAAAAUCUUGUUACUGGGGUGCCUGGAUGGCUCAGUUGGUUAAGUGUCUGCCUUCUACUCAGGUCAUGAUCCUGGGGUCCUGGGAUCGAGCCCCGCUUCGGGCUCCCUGCCCAGUGGGAAGUCUGCUUCUCUCUGCCCCUCUGCUCCUCUCCUCACUCAUGAUGUCUCUCAAAUAAAUAAAGUCGUUUAAAAAAAUCUUGUUACUCAAGCCUCUUUUUCCCUCAGACAAUUACGUGCCUUUGGCAUAUGGGAUUUUUGCCUGAGCUGAUGAUGAAGAAGAUGUGUGCCAUGAGCCCGUACUGCCUCCAAAGUGAUGGCUGCCAAAACUAACAGCUGUGAAAUUAUUUGUGACUGUUACGGAUAAACAUAUUUGUCCCUACUCAUUAUAUGAUCCCAUCUGCUGUGCAUUCCAGCUCCCCCUGAGGCCACGGACAACACAGGCUCUGACCCUCUGGGUACACAGGAAGUCUGCCAAGAAGGGCUCUGCUCUCACCCUUGUGGGAGACGGUGGGUCACUUCCUGGUUCUUUCCUAUUAUUAUUGUUAAGUUUGAAUAGGACUGAUGACCGGGUGUUAGGUAGUUUUCUAAAACCUUUUGAAUUAUUAAAGUUUAUUACAGCACUUGAAAAAAAUGAAAAAAGUUCAUGUCACUCAUAUUCC